rnacentral:rRNA from 1 species
GAUGAACGCUAGCGGCAGGCCUAAUACAUGCAAGUCGAACGGUGUCUUCGGACAUAGUGGCGCACGGGUGCGUAACACGUAUGCAACCUACCUUACAUUGGGGGAUAGCCUUUCGAAAGGGAGAUUAAUACCGCAUAAGACAGUAGCUGGGCAUCCAGCAGCUGUUAAAGAUUUAUCGAUGUAAGCUGGGCAUGCGUCCAAUUAGCUAGUUGGUGAGGUAACGGCUCACCAAGGCAAUGAUUGGUAGGGGAACUGAGAGGUCAAUCCCCCACACUGGCACUGUGAUACGGGCCCGACGCCUACGGGAGGCAGCAGUAUGGAAUAUUGGGCAAGGUACGCAAGUCUGACCCAGCCAUUCCGCGUGCAGGAUGAAGGCGUUAUGCGUUGUAAACUGCUUUUAUACAGGAAGAAACGACUCUUGCGAGAGGCAUUGACGGUACUGUAUGAAUAAGCACCGGCUAACUCCGUGCCAGCAGCCGCAGUAAUAC